UACAUUGUUUUUGUUUUGAAGGUUUUCACU
rnacentral:piRNA from 1 species